rnacentral:rRNA from 1 species
UUAUGGCUCAGGAUGAACGCUAGCGAUAGGCCUAACACAUGCAAGUCGAGGGGCAGCAUAGAGUAGCAAUACUUUGAUGGCGACCGGCGCACGGGUGAGUAACACGUAUGCAACCUACUACAGUCAGGGGAAUAACCCGGAGAAAUUCGGACUAAUACCGCAUAAUACAGGGAUGCCGCAUGGCAAUAUUUGUUAAAGAUUUAUCGGAUGUAGAUGGGCAUGCGUUCCAUUAGCUGGUUGGUAAGGUAACGGCUUACCAAGGCAACGAUGGAUAGGGGAACUGAGAGGUUUGUCCCCCACACUGGAACUGAGACACGGACCAGACUCCUACGGGAGGCAGCAGUGAGGAAUAUUGGUCAAUGGACGAGGAGUCUGAACCAGCCAAAUCGCGUGAAAACGGAAGACUGCCCUACGGGUUGUAAACUUCUUUUGUACAGGAAUAAAAGACAUUACGUGUAAUGUAUUGCAUGUACUGUACGAAUAAGCAUCGGCUAACUCCGUGCCAGCCGCGGC